AACGAACGCUGGCGGCAUGCCUAACACAUGCAAGUCGAACGAGACCUUCGGGUCUAGUGGCGCACGGGUGCGUAACGCGUGGGAACCUGCCCUUAGGUUCGGAAUAACUCCCCGAAAGGGGUGCUAAUACCGGAUAAUGUCUUCGGACCAAAGAUUUAUCGCCUUUGGAUGGGCCCGCGUUGGAUUAGCUAGUUGGUAGGGUAAAAGCCUACCAAGGCGACGAUCCAUAGCUGGUCUGAGAGGAUGAUCAGCCACACUGGGACUGAGACACGGCCCAGACUCCUACGGGAGGCAGCAGUGGGGAAUAUUAGACGAUGGGCGAAAGCCUGAUCCAGCAAUGCCGCGUGAGUGAUGAAGGCCUUAGGGUUGUAAAGCUCUUUUACCCGGGAUGAUAAUGACAGUACCGGGAGAAUAAGCUCCGGCUAACUCCGUG
rnacentral:rRNA from 1 species